GACGAACGCUGGCGGCGUGCCUAAUACAUGCAAGUAGAACGCUGAAGGAGGAGCUUGCUUCUCUGGAUGAGUUGCGAACGGGUGAGUAACGCGUAGGUAACCUGCCUGGUAGCGGGGGAUAACUAUUGGAAACGAUAGCUAAUACCGCAUAAGAGUAGAUGUUGCAUGACAUUUGCUUAAAAGGUGCAAUUGCAUCACUACCAGAUGGACCUGCGUUGUAUUAGCUAGUUGGGGGGGUAACGGCUCACCAAGGCGACGAUACAUAGCCGACCUGAGAGGGUGAUCGGCCACACUGGGACUGAGACACGGCCCAGACUCCUACGGGAGGCAGCAGUAGGGAAUCUUCGGCAAUGGACGGAAGUCUGACCGAGCAACGCCGCGUGAGUGAAGAAGGUUUUCGGAUCGUAAAGCUCUGUUGUAAGAGAAGAACGAGUGUGAGAGUGGAAAGUUCACACUGUGACGGUAUCUUACCAGAAAGGGACGGCUAACUACGUG
rnacentral:rRNA from 1 species